CGGCUAUGGGCGGUUGCGUGGGGAAGUAUUCCAUUCGUCAUUGAUCUGUUUGUGGCGCGUCGGUGCCGCGACAAGAAUGCGGUCGGUGCUUUGCCACUGGGAAACGGAAAACACCGCGGAACAUCGGAGUGAGCAAUUGCGCGGCUGAAACCAACGGAGUCGCUGAAGCUUCUGUGAUCACGUCAAAAUUUGUCAACGGGCAAAUACGCCGCCGCAAAGUAAAAUACAAACAUGGCCGUCAGAGAAGAGAAAAUAUGCACGCUCGCCGCCUCAUUUCUGGCGUUUCUGGUUGCCGUUUGUCGAGCCAGCGCUCCGAUGGACAUUAAAAUGGACGAGAAGGCCCACAGCAUUCACAGGGUUGAUACGGUGAACAUCCUGGUCUACACUUCUCUGCUCAUCCUCACGGUGUGCAUCAUUUGGCUGUUCAAGCGACGCCGUGCCCGGUUUCUCCAUGAAACUGGACUAGCGAUAUUGUUUGGUCUCAUAGUUGGAGCAAUAGUGCGAUAUGCAAGUGAGGAGACUGAAAUGUCACAUGUGCGUGUGGUGCCCGUUCAGGGCAGCAAUUACAGCGAUGCCGUCCCACCAGACAAUGUGUUUGUGAUGUUGGAGGUCGCCAAGAGCGACAUAGGGCACAAGGAGAACAAGACCUAUGCGUACACCUUCCAAGGCGAGGUCACCGAUGUCGAGAGCAAAAAACUGAACCAGAAAGCGACCUUUGAUCCAGAGAUAUUUUUCAACAUUAUCCUACCACCCAUUAUAUUUAAUGCUGGGUACAGCUUGAAGAGGAAAUUCUUCUUCAGGAACUUAGGCACAAUAAUGACCUAUGCCUUUGUAGGAACAACAAUAUCCUGCUUUGUUGUUGGGGUGAUCAUGUAUGCAUUCCUAAUGUUCAUGCCACAUUUGGACUUCACUUUCAACAACUGUCUCUAUUUUGGUGCCAUCAUCUCGGCUACUGACCCAGUGACAGUAUUGGCCAUUUUCCAUGACCUUCAUGUUGAUGUGAACCUCUACGCUCUAGUUUUUGGGGAGAGCAUUCUAAAUGAUGCUGUAGCCAUUGGCUUAGUUUCAGCAAUUUCUAGCUAUGAAGAGAACAAUAACGAAGGAAAGGAGUUUGAAGUGGCUGCAGCAUUUAAGGCAUUUGGGAAUUUUGUCUACAUUUUCCUCUGCUCAUUCAUGAUUGGCUCAGUGACUGGAUGUGUCACAGCACUCAUCACCAAGUUCACAAAGCUGUGCGAUUUCCCACUACUGGAGAGUUGCCUCUUCGUACUAAUGUCCUACACUUCUUUCCUCAUUGCUGAAGCGCUUGACCUUACAGGUAUUGUGGCUGUACUGUUUUGUGGAAUCUGCCAGGCCCACUAUACGUACAACAACCUAUCAGUAGAAUCUCGGUUGCGGACAAAACAGCUCUUUGAAUUACUAAAUUUUCUAGCAGAAAAUUUUAUAUUCAGCUACAUUGGUGUCUCCAUGUUCACAUACAAGAAACACAGAUGGGAUGCCGGCUUCAUCAUGGUUGCCUUCCUAGCAAUAGCAGCUGGGAGAGCACUGUACAUCUACCCACUGACAUUCCUGCUGAACCUGGGGAGAACGCACAAGAUCCCUGGCUCUUUUCAGCAUGUGCUUUUCUUUUCAGGUUUGCGGGGUGCAAUGGCAUUUGCACUGGCCAUUCGAAACACUCUCUCUGAACAGAGGCACUUGAUGCUCACAGCCACCUCGCUCAUAGCCAUUGUGACGGUGAUAGUCUGCGGUGGCUUCACUACACAGCUCCUGGCAUGGCUGAGCAUACCGGUGGGAAUCGAAGAGGAGCAUGAAAUGCUUCAGUUCACUGGUAUCAGGCCUGGUUAUCAGGCAACUCAAAAUGGGGUGGCUGGCCAGGUGCAAACACCACCAGAAUUGCAGAGCCCACCACCACAGCCAGAAUCAAGGACUCCCUAUGAAAAGGCUUGGCUAGUGCGCAAGUGGUACAACUUUGACGUCAAAUUCAUGAAGCCCCUGCUGACGCACAGCCGUCCGACGCUGCUGGACACGCUGCCCCAGUGCUGCCUGCCCUUGGCCCAUGUGCUCACCUCCACGGAGCAGCUGAUGCAGGGAAGUGCGCAUUUCAAUGUUGCGGGAGAUUCUGGACAGCUGCAGACUAAUUUUAUGUGAAGCAAGACGACAGCAGCCUGAAGCAAAAGCCAAUGUAGGGCAAUGGACAUAUCGAAGCAUGUGUGACUCUAUUGAGGAAGGGGACCUUGGACUUGGAAGCAGCCUGACUGCGCUAACGGCAACGAGAGUACGGCUCGUUGGCAUGCAGGGAGAUGCUGUCUGAGUGCGCCGUUUGCUAAGGGUGCUGUUAUGCCUCCCGGAGGCAUUGGUGCAGGGUGAUAGUGCCUAUUGAAGCGUGCACGUGGUCCUCACAGUUCACAGAAAAAGCA
rnacentral:misc_RNA from 1 species